CCUACGUGUGGCUGCAGUGAGGAAUAUUGGUCAAUGGGCGCGAGCCUGAACCAGCCAAUUAGCGUGAAGGAUGACUGCCCUACGGGUUGUAAACUUCUUUUAUAAAGGAAUAAAGUGAGGGACGUGUGCCUUUUUGUAUGUACUUUACGAAUAAGGCUCGGCUAACUCCGUGCCAGCAGCCGCGGUAAUACGGAGGAUCCGAGCGUUCUCCGGAUUUAUUGGGUUUAAAGGGAGCGUAGUUGGGUUGUUAAGUCAGGUGUGAAAGCUUGCGGCUCAACCGUAAAAUUGCAAAUGAUACUGGCAGCCUUGAGUACAGAUGAGGUAGGCGGAAUUGGUGGUGUAGCGGUGAAAUGCUUAGAUAUCACGAAGAACUCCGAUUGCGAAGGCAGCUUACUAAACUGCCACUGACAUUGAUGCUCGAAAGUGUGGGUAUCAAACAGGAUUAGAUACCCUAGUAGUC
rnacentral:rRNA from 1 species